AUGCAACCUUCUUUGAAUAAAAGCAUCUACUGUAGGUCCAGCACUGGACUUUGUGGAAGGAGAUGGCCUCCAGUGGGAGAGUGGAAGGUGAACGAGAACACGCAGAUUCUAUCCUCAAGGGGCCUGUGGUUGGCUGAGGAGACAAGACCAAAUACUUUGGACAAUAAAAUAAUCACAUCUGAUGCUAAACUUGAUCUUUCUUGCCAGAAACUAUGUUUGACCCUCUCUUCAGGGCAGGGAAAAGAAACUAACUGGAUCACUUUCACAAAUCAAUAGGGCCACCUGGGUGGCACAGUCAGGUAUGCAUCUGACUCUUGAUUUGAGUUCAGGUCAUGAUCUGAAGGUUAAGAGAUUGAACCCUGCAUCAGGC
rnacentral:lncRNA from 1 species